GAAAACCGCACCAUUUUUAGUCGCUCAGAAGUCCCAGAAUCCCAACGUAAAUCAUAUUUGAGAUGUCGCAUCUUUAAUUCGGAGGCGGAAUUCCAUUGACGAAUUGCUUCUGCCGCCCCCUCACCAUCUUCAUUCGGCGACUGCCGCGUUUUUGUUGCGUUUGGAAAUUGCUUUGCUGGCGCCUACUUAAGUUACUUUCUGUCUUUCUUUUUUUUCGCUUUUUGUUUUUGCUGGAUCGUGCGCAUUCCGCUGGAUUCCGCAGCCAAAUUGAUGGCGCCAAAAUUCAAGAAGCUCAGCGGUCGGACUUGGAGCCGAGUCCGCCUGGGAAAGGCAAAAAGAAUCGGUGGCAGACGGCAGACGUCAUUGGCAUAACCAUACCCACGGCGAUGGGCAUACAAUCUACAAGAACCAACUUAUGCUUCAAGCCCACACUGUACUGGGUUGAAGGAGUGGAGCAUUUGUCCCAUAAAUGUCAAUUCGUCAGAGUUUUUCACGUCGCCGCUUAGAUGUCAGCUCCCCGGGGCCUUGAGAGCUCGGCCUUAAAUUAUUCUACGCACAGUCGUGGCCGUAUUAUGAAUUUUGAAUACAAUUAUUGCAAAAAUGUUCCCCCAGCAAAAAAAAAUGCAGCGCAGGAGGGAAAUUCUGGAUUGUCGGUCACUGGGUUUUGAGUUGGCCUAGAGGGUGGCCCUUUGCACCGAUCCGUUAUUUGCGUGCCGAUCGGACGAUUCAUUAAUAAAAAUUAUGUCAAAAUAAUCACGCCACCAGUUGGGACUCAAGACCUGGACCCAUGAUAAAUGAGUCGCCUCCAGGGUGCACUCGAAACCCUUUGCUGGGAUCAGGGA